rnacentral:tRNA from 1 species
AAUAAGAUGCCUGAAAAAAAGGAUUAUCUUGAUGUGAUAAAUAAUGUUUAAAUACUCUUAUUA